AACGCUGGCUUGACGGACCGGUGACGCGACACUUCCUGUGAGGGGAGUGACGUCAGAUCCGGCACCCGGGCGGCGCGACGGCUGGAGGCGUUGUAAAAAAAAUAAUCAUAACUUUUUCAAAAUGAAGAAAAGAUGCAAAUAAUUCCUUGAAUGGCAUGAAACAUUCAAACUCUUUUUGAAGAAGGCUAUACUCAUCGAAAAAAUUGCUAAAAAAAAGAAAAAAAGAAAAAUGCCACCAUCUAGUGUAACGUAUACAUUAGCUCGAUACAAAGAAACCAGUACAAAUGUGACUAAAGACGACCCAGGUGUACAUCAAAAUGGGAAGAUAAAUACAUUAUCGUAAUGAGUAAGCAAAACGGAAGACUCCCAGCAACUGCAAUAAAAGAACUAAAUAAAAUUAGACAAACUCCAGUUGA